rnacentral:rRNA from 1 species
CCUACGGGGGGCUGCAGUGGGGAAUAUUGGACAAUGGGGGGAACCCUGAUCCAGCCAUGCCGCGUGUGUGAAUAAGGCCCUCGGGUUGUAAAGCACUUUCAGUGAGGAAGAACGCCUGGUGGUUAAUACCCAUCAGGAAAGACAUCACUCACAGAAGAAGCACCGGCUAACUCCGUGCCAGCAGCCGCGGUAAUACGGAGGGUGCGAGCGUUAAUCGGAAUUACUGGGCGUAAAGCGCGCGUAGGUGGCUUGAUAAGCCGGUUGUGAAAGCCCCGGGCUCAACCUGGGAACGGCAUCCGGAACUGUCAAGCUAGAGUGCAGGAGAGGAAGGUAGAAUUCCCGGUGUAGCGGUGAAAUGCGUAGAGAUCGGGAGGAAUACCAGUGGCGAAGGCGGCCUUCUGGACUGACACUGACACUGAGGUGCGAAAGCGUGGGUAGCAAACAGGAUUAGAUACCCGUGUAGUC